rnacentral:rRNA from 1 species
GGCAGGCUUAACACAUGCAAGUCGAGGGGCAUCGGGAGGAAAGCUUGCUUUCCUUGCCGGCGACCGGCGCACGGGUGAGUAACACGUAUGCAACCUGCCCUCUUCAGGGGGACAACCUUCCGAAAGGGAGGCUAAUCCCGCGUAUAUCGGUUUCGGGCAUCCGAGAUCGAGGAAAGAUUCAUCGGAAGAGGAUGGGCAUGCGGCGCAUUAGCUAGACGGCGGGGUAACGGCCCACCGUGGCGACGAUGCGUAGGGGUUCUGAGAGGAAGGUCCCCCACACUGGUACUGAGACACGGACCAGACUCCUACGGGAGGCAGCAGUGAGGAAUAUUGGUCAAUGGGAGAGAUCCUGAACCAGCCAAGCCGCGUGAGGGAAGACGGCCCUAUGGGUUGUAAACCUCUUUUGUCGGAGAACAAAACCCGGGACGUGUCCCGGACUGCGUGUAUCCGAAGAAAAGGCAUCGGCUAACUCCGUGCCAGCAGCCGCGGUAAUACGGAGGAUGCGAGCGUUAUCCGGAUUUAUUGGGUUUAAAGGGUGCGUAGGCGGUCCGUUAAGUCAGCGGUAAAAUUGCGGGGCUCAACCCCGUCGAGCCGUUGAAACUGGCAGACUUGAGUUGGCGAGAAGUACGCGGAAUGCGCGGUGUAGCGGUGAAAUGCAUAGAUAUCGCGCAGAACUCCGAUUGCGAAGGCAGCGUACCGGCGCCAGACUGACGCUGAGGCACGAAAGCGUGGGGAUCGAACAGGAUUAGAUACCCUGGUAGUCCACGCAGUAAACGAUGAAUGCUGGUUGUCCGGGUCGAAUGAGACCUGGGCGGCGAAGCGAAAGCGAUAAGCAUUCCACCUGGGGAGUACGCCGGCAACGGUGAAACUCAAAGGAAUUGACGGGGGCCCGCACAAGCGGAGGAACAUGUGGUUUAAUUCGAUGAUACGCGAGGAACCUUACCCGGGCUCAAACGGGAGUGGAAUGGACCAGAGACGGUUCAGCCUACGGGCCGCUUCCGAGGUGCUGCAUGGUUGUCGUCAGCUCGUGCCGUGAGGUGUCGGCUUAAGUGCCAUAACGAGCGCAACCCCCGCCGGCAGUUGCUAACGGGCAAUGCCGAGGACUCUGCCGGGACUGCCGCCGCAAGGCGUGAGGAAGGCGGGGAUGACGUCAAAUCAGCACGGCCCUUACGUCCGGGGCGACACACGUGUUACAAUGGGCGGUACAGCGGGAAGCCAGGCGGCGACGCCGAGCGGAACCCGAAAGCCGUUCUCAGUUCGGAUCGGAGUCUGCAACCCGACUCCGUGAAGCUGGAUUCGCUAGUAAUCGCGCAUCAGCCAUGGCGCGGUGAAUACGUUCCCGGGCCUUGUACACACCGCCCGUCAAGCCAUGGGAGCCGGGGGUGCUUGAAGU